rnacentral:lncRNA from 1 species
CCAAUCUCAUGGUGAACUCGAAGUUCACAAGCAUAACUCACGUGUAAGUCUCAUAGGGAAAGUCUCACUGAACUACUCCCGAGACAACCUGCGGACGGCACACAGACCGUCCAGACAGCACACUGACUGUCCCUCUAGUGACCAACCUCCGGAGUGCACAGCUUGCGGGGAGCGACCCCUCCAAGCGCAGACAGGCUAUGUGAGCACGAUCCACUCACGAACAACAGCAACCUACCCUCUAAGGGUAAUUUCAUCAUGGAAUCAAGGUGUUCUUGUACUCAAUCUCAUAGUGUCUCAACUACACUAUGGUUCUCAUGUCAAAAUUAUCAACAAUCAUAUGUCCUUCAUCAUAGUUUUCUAUAACUAGAUGUCACUUAUCAUAGUUUUCUAAACUAGAUGCCAC